AUUUUCUAACAAUUCUUUAUAGGCUUCAUUAUAUUGAUGAAUAAAUUGAUGUCCUGAUGGUGAAUAAAUAGUUUACCCAAGGUCACAGAUAUUUAGCUGUUGGACUGUGACUUAGUAAAUACAGGUUAUUUUAUUUUUAGUUUAGUGCUUUGCUUUAUAAAUGUCUGUAUAUGUAUGAUUUUUAAAAUUAGGCUAAGGCGAAAUUAAUAUCUUAAUUCAUAAAACUAAAGUUACUUUGUAGAAUAUAUAUUAUGUUUUCAAUUGGUCUUGUAAUAAACUAUCACACAGAUUGCAUGAACAGUAAAGAUUUGUUAGCUUAUAGUUUUAUAGGUCAGAAGUCUAGCUGGGCUAAAUUCAAGGUGUUAGUCAAUAGGGCUACAUUCCUUUCUGGAGGCUCUAGGGGAGAAUCUGAUUUCUUGACUUUUCUAGCUUCUAGAGGCUACCUACCUUCAUUGGCUCCUGGCCUCCUUCCAUCUUCAAAGCCAACAUUGAUGGAUUGUAUCCUUUUCGUAAUGCCAUCCAGCCUGUUUCCUUUCUUGGAAAACAGCUGAGAAAGGUUCUCUCUUUUAAGGACUCAAUUCAUUAGAUUGGAGCAACCCAGAUAAUCCAGAAUAAUCCCAUCUCUUGGUCCAUAAUCUUCACUGUGUUUCCAAAAUCGCUUUUGCUGUGUAAGAUAACAUAUACCUAGGUUCUGGGGAUUAAGAUGUUUACAGCUUCAAAAGCACAUAAAUUUUUUUUCCUUAAAGGAUUUUUUACUGAUUUAAAUAUAUGAUCAAUGAAGAGCUUCUUAUUAAACAACAUGUAAUGCUCUAGGCUUCUCUAAGAAUAACAAUAUUUUAAUUAUAAGAUUUAAUAAGCUUUUUUUGAAUGCUAGAAACAUAAUUUUAAAGGAUAAUACAUAGUGUAACAUCUAGCAUGGCUAAUUUUAUAUAUAGUAAAUUAAGAUGUAAUUUAAACGUCGUACUUAUAUGUAAGGUUUGCUACUUAAUGGGUUUAUUGUAUAUGUACCUAAUUCUUUGUUAGUAGUUUCAGUUCAUGUCCCAGGAAUGAAAAAUUCUUUAUUAUUUCUCAAUACUAUUUCUCAAUACUAGAUUUCAUUUAAAUGACUUUACCUCUUUUUCUUUUAGUUUUCUAAAGUUUUCAUCUGAGGCUGUUUAAUGCUCAUUUGAAAGUUAGGGCAGGCCUUAAUAUAGAGUCAACUUCUUUCUAGAUAAAGGAAAUUUAAGCAAUCCUGAAUUAGUAACUAAAUUUGUUGUUAUGUUCUUAUUUUAUAUCCCAGUUCUAAUAUUUUUCUUUAUGGCUUAUGACCAAAUCCUCUUUUAGUACUUUGGUUCCAGUAAUAGAUAUCAUGUCUGAUUAAUUUUUUCUGUGUAGAGAAAAGACUUUUGCUCCUAAAAUCUAGAUCCUAUGACUGGUUAUUGAUUGCUUUUGGCCAACUCUUCUUAGUAAUUCUGCUUGACUGAUUGCAUUUUUGUUCAUUGGAUGCUUUGUAUGUCUCUAAUCUCAAAUGCUUGUAAUUUCUAGUCUGGCUUUUCUUGACCACUGACAAAUCCCUGUUUCUGCUAUUCAGAGCGUAGCAAAUUUUUAUGAUUAUAAUGUUUUAUAUUACUAUCAGGGUAGGUACACAGUACUUGAAUAAAAUAAGUGCAUAUUCCAUUCAGAGGGCAUGAAGAUAUAUUCUUAAUAAUUUCCCAAUGAUUUCUUAAGUUCCUGGUCAUCUUUGUACCUCUGAGGAUAUACAGCUAUCUUUAAAUAAAUGUGAUUCCUUAUUAAAAUACCUUUCAUGGGACUCAAAACAUAACUAUCCUUAGCAUUUACUUUACUGGUUCCUAAUUUUUUGGAUUUCAUGGACUAGUAAAACAUAUUAAAAAGUUUGGAGGGUGCGCAAAGAAGUGCCAACUUUUUAUUUUUCUAAAAGCCUAAUAAAAACCCAACUGUUAUCAGCUAUCACUGUUGUAUCAUAAAGGAAUGUUUGAACAUCAAAAAAGAACAGUCACUGGGUAAAAAAGUCCUCUAAAUUUAAUAAACUUAGCUUCAUAGAAAAACUCAAUAAUACAUUGUCAUUUACUUUUCUAAAUUUACUGAGUAUGACUAAAACUUAAAAAAAAAGUGGUCUAGGAUGCUACUAGUGUCUUCAUCCCCUUUUAUUUAAGUGGAGCUUGAGUCUCAGCGUAUGUGGCUUUCUUAAAUCCUAAAACUAGCCAGUUGUUGAAAGCAAAGGCUAAGAUGAAUUUAAAAGUGCACAGUAGUCUUUUUCUUAGGGUGUUGUCCUUGAAUCAAACAUCCAACGUUUUAAUAUAGUAAAUAGCAUUUUAGCCUCUCUGUUUCCACUACUGUCCAUUUCCUACAAAAAUAUCACAUUCUGCCACCUUAAAAAGUGUUCAAUACUGUGUAAUCGUCUGUACUUUCCAUACCCUUGAGCCUUAAUUUUGUUGUUGUGGCGAGCUAAUGCAACUUUUUCCUUGUUCUGCUUAGUACUUUUUGAUUUAUUUGUAUUUAAAAUAUAUACACAUUCAGUAUAGCACAGAAAUGUUUAAAAUGAAAAAAAGUUUUCAACCUCAAUCUCUUCUACUUUAUUCCUUAAAGGUAAUCACUGUAAAUUUCUAGUAUAACUUAAAAAAUUAUGCAUAUACCUGUAGCUAGCUAUAUUUAAAUGUCUUCUAAUGUAUAUUUAAAUGUCUUCUAAUGUAUACUUCUAAUGUAUGCUUUAAAACAUACAGAAAUGGAUUUACACUAAUGGUACAUUUUAAGCUUUAUUCCUAGCUCUACCUUGGCCUCCUUUUUUUUCUGUUUUUAAGAGUUCAUACUUAACUUACGCUGUCAUCACAUUUUUUUAUACACUUGCAUUUAAAGUUCUUCCUGGUACAAGUAAGGAUACAGACAAAUAGAAUUUUAUUAUAUUUUUAGUAUACUAUAAUUAAAUCUAGGUUGAUAAUUAUUUCUUUAUAAGUGCUAAUAUGAUUGUAAGCCAAGAAUUUUUUUUUUUUUACCAAUCAAAAGUACUAGAAAGCAUUAUUCCUUGGCAUGUAUAUCAUUAAAUAUUUCCCUCAAACUUUGUACCAGAAUUAUCUAUAAGAAGUAAAAUUUGCUGUUUCUGGUUAGUUUUCGUGUUGAAUGAGUCAUCUGUAAAGAGGAGAGGAAGAAAAGAAGAGUAAGUAUGUAUAUCAGAUUUUGUUUAAUUUAGAAAGGCAUUAAAAUAUCACAAGGAGAGGCUAUUUCAUAUGCCAGCAGCCGUGCCCAUUCGUAAAAAUGCAGUUUAUCAUAGUCAUAGUAUAAAACAUUUGGUUCUUUUUAUUGCAGUUGUUUCAUGCAUUCCUUUUGCUGAUGUUCUAUGGCUAAGUGUUAUGUACUUCUUUGAUUACAUUUCUCUUUCCUACUGAAAUAUAUAACUAGUUUGCACAAAUUACUGAACUGUGGCCUGAGAGUCUGUCUCUUUGAUAACAAUGGACGUAUUUCAGAAUAGAGUGGUACUUUGAGCAUUAUAGGUUUGUCUUACUUGGCCUCGACAGUUUGUUAGACAGUGUAUUUGGUGUCUUGACAAAAGGAGUCUGCUAACCUGGUAUAGUAUGCAUGUAUUUUUGGCAUACUGUUUCUUAUUGUGUUAGUUUAACUUAGAUAUGACAUUUAUAUUGAAAGUCACUUCUCAGGCAGAAGCAACUAAUAUGAGAUUUAAUGCUGGGUGUUUGGCCUUUCAAAAUUAAGUAAUUUUAGCUAGAUGAAAAAACUUUUCCCUUUUCGUAAACUGGAUAACCCUGAAUGGUUUACUCAAUCCAACCCAAAUAAUCUUGAAUAAAUUGGUUGCAUGGUGUAGUUCACAAAUAUGGAAAACUAUUACUCACUCUCAGUCCUUGCCUUAUACACUUAAUAUAUAAUCAUAAAUAUACAAAUAUAAAUAUAUUUGUUAAGGUUAUGUAGUCUUGUCAAAUUUCUUUUGUUGUCUUAAAUUCUGGUUUGGCUCAAAAUCAAUGUUAUAAUUUUGAUAAUGACUAAUAAUAUAUUUAAAGGAACACAUAGAUUAACAUUCAGAUUUUUUUUUUGUCUUUUUGCUAUUUCUUGGGCCGCUCCCGCGGCAUAUGGAAGUUCCCAGGCUAGGGGUCGAAUCAGAGCUGUAGCCACCGGCCUACGCCAGAGCCACAGCAACGCGGGAUCCGAGCCGCGUCUGCAAGCUACACCGCGUCUGCAACGCCGGAUCGUUAACCCACUGAGCAACGGCGCAGGGAUCGAACCCGCAACUUCAUGGUUCCUAGUCGGAUUCGUUAACCACUGUGCCACGAUGGGAACUCCAAAAAGUUUUUUAAUGUUUGUUUUUUUUGGACUGCAGAAGUUCCUAGGCCAGGGAUCAAACCUGCACCACAGCAGUAACCAGAGAUGCAGUAGUGACAACACCAGAUACUUAACCCAACUGAACUACCAUGGAAUUCCAUUAAUUUUUUAAUGAGCCAGCAAGUUUCAUUAUUGCAUUCAUCAGCUAAGAACUGAAUCAAAGUUGGUUUUAGCCCUGAAUCUGUCAUCACUUAGUUGUAUGACUUUGGGAAAUUCCUGUUGGCUUUAGUUUCCUCAUUUUUUUAAAUAGUAGAGUUGAAUUCCUAGUUUAUCUCUGAAAUCCAAAUCAAUUCUAAAAUUUGAUGAUAUUUUAUGAUUCUGUCUCUCACCCCCUACCCCAGGCCAAAAUAGUUUUGAGUUAUAUUUAAAUUUACCCACACACAAACAGUUUUAGGACUUAGAAAUUGAGAAGGUACAAGUUCUAAAUCAGCAGAAUCUUCUUCAUAAUCCUUUUGCUGACCAUAAUGUAUGACCUUAUGAAGGAAUUAAGGAGUUAGAGGUUCUAGGCUAGUGUGAGGUGGGAAUAAUAUUUUAUGUGUGUGUAUGUGUUUGGUGUGUAUAUAUAUUUAAAAUUGUGUGUAUAUUUAUGUGCACAUAUAAGUGUAUAUAGUUUACUCUCUUUCUAUCGAAAAUGUUGUCAUUAAGUCUCAAUUUUAGGCAGGCAUCAUGAGCCUGUUUUUAGGGGGUCAGGCCGUUACAUAUGUUUCAGUCCCUCUUUCAGUUGUAGGACUGGAACUAACAUGUAUUCCUUCCUGCUCCUCCAAGAGUAGUGCCACCCUUUCUCCCUAUGUUUCCUUCUAGCUACAGUGAGUUUCCACCAGGCUAUGGAUUUGAUGUACUUCUCCCUGUAUGUUAAGGAUUUUUCUCCUUAUGUUACUGGAGGGUAGGUUCUUGUUUUGUCACAGAAACAAUUCAGAGAUGAGACCUGGAGGCCAAGUAAGCAAAGCAAGAAUUUAUUGAGUGAUAAACAGUCUCAGGAGGGAGAGUUGGUUGGCUUAGGUGAGUAACUGCCCACAGUUCCUUUUUGAAAUCUGGUUAUAUGGGGUGCAAAAUGAUUGGGAGGAAUAUUCAUUGAAAGAGAAGUUUUGGGAGUAAUUUCCUGGUUUUUGUCCCAGCUCUACUUCCUGAAGAGGAGAAUUUUUGUCUUUAAUUGGUCUUCUCAGAUCUGUCAUGAUAUCAAAUGCAUGAUGGGUACUGCUCUGGUUGCGAUGCUAAUUCUGUUGAAAUAAGUGCAUAAUGAGCAAAAGGUUACUUUUGGAGGUUCCUGCUCUUCUUUGUCUCUAGAACCCCUGUUAUCACAAGAAAUAGGGUUUCCUAUCACAUGACCUAUGUCUCCCUUCUCUGCUCAAAUCCAGCUAACUGCCUGCUCUAACAUUUAGGGGAGACAAACCAAAUGAGUCUGGCUGAAGUUUCCCACAUAGGUUGAAUGGAAUUACACCAGAACCCUCAAGUAUGGUUUGCAAAUAAAUCUUGUUUUAUAGAGGAGGUGGGCUGGAUGGUUCUAGGUGGAGUUUGAACAUUGUUGUUCCGCCUUAGCCAGCAAUGGAUAGCUUACUCGGAAUUCUUGCUCGUCUUUUCAGUGUUCCUAUGGGAUUCUAGUGAGAAGAGUGUGUAAGAGGUGUAAAUAAAGGAAAAUCAUAUUUCUGUGUAUAUUCUCUAUUCUCAGUAGUCUAUGCACACUCAGAACAUUCUACUAAACAAUACUUCUGACACGACUUGUGUGGAUUUUCCACAUACCAAAUAUUUUUUUGACACCAGCUGGAUGUCCUAUGUGGACAAAAAAAAUGUUGCCAGGGAGUUCCCUUCAUGGCUCAGCGGAAACGAAUCUGACUAGCAUCCAUGAGGAUGCAGGUUCGAUCCCUGACUUCCCUCAGUGGGUUAAGGAUCUGGCAUUGCUGUGAGCUGUGUUGUAGGUCGCAUGUGGCUUGGAUCUCGUGUUGCUGUGGCUGUGGUGUAGGCCGGCAGCUGUGGCUCCCAUUGGACCACUAGCCUGGGAACCUCCAUGUGCUACAGGUGCAGCCCUAAAAAUC
rnacentral:lncRNA from 1 species